rnacentral:rRNA from 1 species
UACGGAGGGUGCAAGCGUUAUCCGGAUUCACUGGGUUUAAAGGGUGCGUAGGUGGGUUGGUAAGUCAGUGGUGAAAUCUCCGAGCUUAACUUGGAAACUGCCAUUGAUACUAUCAGUCUUGAAUAUUGUGGAGGUUAGCGGAAUAUGUCAUGUAGCGGUGAAAUGCUUAGAUAUGACAUAGAACACCAAUUGCGAAGGCAGCUGGCUACGCAUAUAUUGACACUGAGGCAUGAAAGCGUGGGGAUCAAACAGG